rnacentral:lncRNA from 1 species
GUAUUGAUAAAGGUUCAAGUUUGGGGCUGUUGGGAAAGUUGAAAAAGAAAAAGAUAAGCAUUGAGCUAAUGUGUUGAGCAAAACAUGAAAAGUUGAAAAAGAUAGAAAAGAUAAAAAAAAAGAAAAAGAAAAAAAGAUAAAAUGAGAAGAAAAGCUCAAUGCAAAGAAAAGGGAAAGUUGGGAAUGAGUGAGAUUGGUUGUUUAAAGAGAGUUUGUGUUUAAACUAUAAAUGUGAAUAACUCUCUUAACUCAAGGAUUUUGUGAUCCAAAAAAACCAAUGUUCUUCUUAGCCCAACCACGUUACAAGCCAUAAAAAGUCCUUGUGAUUAUAACUUGCUUGUGAGUAUGAUUGAUUGUGCUUAAAUGAAAGGCAAAGUUAAUUUGUGUGACAAUGUGAUAGUAGAGAGAAUGAGUCACCUCA